rnacentral:rRNA from 1 species
GACGAACGCUGGCGGCGUGCCUAAUACAUGCAAGUUGAGCGCUGAAGGUUGGUACUUGUACCAACUGGAUGAGCAGCGAACGGGUGAGUAACGCGUGGGGAAUCUGCCUUUGAGCGGGGGACAACAUUUGGAAACGAAUGCUAAUACCGCAUAAAAACUUUAAACACAAGUUUUAAGUUUGAAAGAUGCAAUUGCAUCACUCAAAGAUGAUCCCGCGUUGUAUUAGCUAGUUGGUGAGGUAAAGGCUCACCAAGGCGAUGAUACAUAGCCGACCUGAGAGGGUGGUCGGCCACAUUGGGACUGGGACACGGCCCAAACCCCUACGGGAGGCAGCAGUAGGGAAACUUCGGAAAUGGACGAAAGUCUGACCGAGCAACGCCGCGUGAGGGGAGAAGGGUUUCGGAUCGUAAAAGUCGGUUGGUAGAGAAGAACGUUGGUGAGAGUGGAAAGCUCAUCAAGUGACGGUAACUACACAGAAAGGGACGGCUAACUACGUG